CCAUGAUUCAGCGGCGGACGGGUGAGUAAUGCCUAGGAAUCUGCCUAUUAGUGGGGGACAACGUUUCGAAAGGAACGCUAAUACCGCAUACGUCCUACGGGAGAAAGCAGGGGACCUUCGGGCCUUGCGCUAAUAGAUGAGCCUAGGUCGGAUUAGCUAGUUGGUGAGGUAAUGGCUCACCAAGGCGACGAUCCGUAACUGGUCUGAGAGGAUGAUCAGUCACACUGGAACUGAGACACGGUCCAGACUCCUACGGGAGGCAGCAGUGGGGAAUAUUGGACAAUGGGCGAAAGCCUGAUCCAGCCAUGCCGCGUGUGUGAAGAAGGUCUUCGGAUUGUAAAGCACUUUAAGUUGGGAGGAAGGGCAUUAACCUAAUACGUUAGUGUUUUGACGUUACCGACAGAAUAAGCACCGGCUAACUUCGUGCCAGCAGCCGCGGUAAUACGAAGGGUGCAAGCGUUAAUCGGAAUUACUGGGCGUAAAGCGCGCGUAGGUGGUUUGUUAAGUUGGAUGUGAAAGCCCCGGGCUCAACCUGGGAACUGCAUCCAAAACUGGCAAGCUAGAGUAUGGCAGAGGGUGGUGGAAUUUCCUGUGUAGCGG
rnacentral:rRNA from 1 species